UGCCCAUUGGAGGCAUUUCCAGCACCGAUGGAUAGAGAAGCUAACCUAUAGGGAGCACUUGAGUGAAUAUUCUAGAGUCCUCCCAGACGAUCUGGGCCCUGUCACAGGAGAACAAAGAAGGAAGGCAGAGGAGAUCAUGCUCCAGCCAGCAGGGAAUCUCCAUUUUUUUCAGCCUCAUACCUUGGAAAGUACAAAGGAGUGAGAGCUGGGACCACCAGCCAGAGGGUUCAUGGAGGUAGUGGGAGGGGAAGAUGGGUUCUGCAUGGAGCCACUCCAGGGACUUUUCUUCUCUCUCACAGCCUGACAAUCACCUCUAGCCAUUCCCAGUCCCAUUCUCAUCUGAUGAGCUCGUCUCCUGUUUUUGUACUAUAUCUAUGAGACCUUCUCUUCUUUCCAUCUUCAAACGCUUGAUCAUUGAUGCUCCCUUUUCUCUUUUCUCUCCUCCUGGGAAAAGAGCAGGACCAAUAUCCCCCUUUCCCUUCCUCCUGUGUUGUCCCGACCCCUCUGAGACCUGGCUGUAGCAGUAAGUCCCUCUCUCUUCUGCAGCACCAGCCUCUGCCCAUCCCUUCCCUCUGCACACAAAGCUCUCACAUUGCACUUCAAGAAAUUUUGUGGCAAACCCUGGCAAAUCCCGCCACUUGUUUCCACUCUACUCAAAUGGCUUUGAGGUCACCAGUGACCUAUCCCUAUCCUGUAUCUGAUGUUGUACCCUUUCUCCCCAAUCCCACUCUGGCAACUCUCCCACUCCCCUUUCUUGGAUCAACUGUCUUGCUCCUCAGUCUCGAUCAAUGCCUCCUUCUCUCUCUUUAGCCUUGGCCCUUUUUGGCCAGGGAAAUAAAUGUGAAAUACAUGAAGCUUCAUUUUAUCUUAUGAUUACAGCUAUGUUGAUGUUACCCAAGACCUAAAAGUCACACUCUCUAAUUACACUUCCCUUCUGUGUUCUGGAUCCUCUUGGACCAGUCCUUACUCUGGCUCCCCUCCUGGAUGUCUCCCAGACUUCUAAUUGGAAUUACUGUUUCCUACAUCAAGCUAAUUGUCUUUCCCGCCAACCUCCUCCAUCCUUGGGUGAAAGCAUCACUUGGUUGCAAAAGUCAGAAAUCUGGGUUUCAUUCUUGCUGUAACUAGAAUAAUGCCUGCAGGCCCCAGAUAUUGACAUCCGAAUCCCUGGGAUUUUGCAGAUGUGAUCCAGUUUAGGAUUUUGAGAUGGGGAGAUUAUCUGGGAGAGCCUGAUGUCAUCACAAGGUUCUUAUAAGAGGGAGGCAGGAGGGUUAGAGUGAGUAGUAAGAGAUGCAACAGUGGAAGCAAAAGGUUGGGGUGAUGUGGCCACAAGCCCAGGAGUGCUGAUGGACACCAGAAGCUGGAAGGGACAAGGAAUCAUUUCUCCUCUGGAGCCUCCAGAAAGAACCAGCCCUGCUGACACCUUGAUUUUAGCCUUGGAAGACUCAUUUUGGACUUCUGACCUUGAAAGUUGUAAGAGAAUAAAUUUACAUAUUUUAAACUGG